UGGGGAAUCUUAGACAAUGGGCGCAAGCCUGAUCUAGCCAUGCCGCGUGGGUGAUGAAGGCCUUAGGGUCGUAAAGCCCUUUCGCCGGGGAAGAUAAUGACGGUACCCGGUAAAGAAACCCCGGCUAACUCCGUGCCAGCAGCCGCGGUAAUACGGAGGGGGUUAGCGUUGUUCGGAAUGACUGGGCGCAAAGCGCGCGUAGGCGGAUCGUCAAGUCGGGGGUGAAAUCCCGGGGCUCAACCCCGGAAUGGCCUUCGAGACUGUCGGUCUUGAGUUCGAGAGAGGUGAGUGGAAUUCCGAGUGUAGAGGUGAAAUUCGUAGAUAUUCGGAGGAACACCAGUGGCGAAGGCGGCUCACUGGCUCGACACUGACGCUGAGGUGCGAAAGCGUGGGGAGCAAAACAGGAUUAGAUACCCUGGUAGUCCACGCCGUAAACGAUGAAUGCCAGACGUCGGGGGGCUUGCCCUUCGGUGUCACACCU
rnacentral:rRNA from 1 species